AGAAACCAACAGGGAUUGCCCCAGUAACGGCGAGUGAAGCGGCAACAGCUCAAAUUUGAAAUCUGGCCCUCGGGUCCGAGUUGUAAUUUGUAGAGGAUGCUUUUGGCGAGGUGCCUUCCGAGUUCCCUGGAACGGGACGCCAUAGAGGGUGAGAGCCCCGUCUGGUCGGACACCGAGCCUCUGUAAAGCUCCUUCGACGAGUCGAGUAGUUUGGGAAUGCUGCUCAAAAUGGGAGGUAUAUGUCUUCUAAAGCUAAAUAUUGGCCAGAGACCGAUAGCGCACAAGUAGAGUGAUCGAAAGAUGAAAAGCACUUUGAAAAGAGGGUUAAAAAGUACGUGAAAUUGUUGAAAGGGAAGCGCUUAUGACCAGACUUGCGCCCGGUGAAUCAUCCAGCGUUCUCGCUGGUGCACUUUGCCGGGCACAGGCCAGCAUCAGUUUGGCGCGGGGGAAAAAGGCUUCGGGAAUGUGGCUCCCUCGGGAGUGUUAUAGCCCGCUGCGUAAUACCCUGCGCCGGACUGAGGUACGCGCAUCGCAAGGAUGCUGGCGUAAUGGUCAUCAGCGACCCGUCUUGAAACACGGACCAAGGAGUCGUCUUCGUAUGCGAGUGUUCGGGUGUCAAACCCCUACGCGUAAUGAAAGUGAACGUAGGUGAGAGCUUCGGCGCAUCAUCGACCGAUCCUGAUGUUCUCGGAUGGAUUUGAGUAAGAGCAUACGGGGCCGGACCCGAAAGAAGGUGAACUAUGCCUGUAUAGGGUGAAGCCAGAGGAAACUCUGGUGGAGGCUCGCAGCGGUUCUGACGUGCGAAUCGAUCGUCAAAUAUGGGCAUGGGGGCGAAAGACUAAUCGAACCUUCUAGUAGCUGGUUUCCGCCGAAGUUUCCCUCAGGAUA
rnacentral:rRNA from 1 species